rnacentral:rRNA from 1 species
AUACGUAGGGGGCGAGCGUUGUCCGGAAUGAUUGGGCGUAAAGGGCGCGUAGGCGGCCCGGUAAGUCUGGAGUGAAGGUCCUGUUUUUAAGAUGGGAAUUGCUUUGGAUACUGUCGGGCUUGAGUGCAGGAGAGGUAAGUGGAAUUCCCAGUGUAGCGGUGAAAUGCGUAGAGAUUGGGAGGAACACCAGUGGCGAAGGCGACUUACUGGACUGUAACUGACGCUGAGGCGCGAAAGUGUGGGGAGCAAACAGGAUUAGAUACCCUGGUAGUCCACACUGUAAACGAUGAAUGCUAGGUGUAAGAGGUAUCGACCCCUUUUGUGCCGGAGUCAACACAAUAAGCAUUCCGCCUGGGGAGUACGGCCGCAAGGUUGAAACUCAAAGGAAUUGGCGGG